rnacentral:rRNA from 1 species
AGAGUUUGAUCAUGGCUCAGGACGACGCUGGCGGCGUGCUUAACACAUGCAAGUCGAACGGUAAGGCCCCAGCUUGCUGGGGUACACGAGUGGCGAACGGGUGAGUAACACGUGGGUGACCUGCCCCGCACUUCGGGAUAAGCCUGGGAAACUGGGUCUAAUACCGGAUAGGACCGCACCGUGAGGGUGUGGUGGAAAGUUUUUCGGUGUGGGAUGGGCCCGCGGCCUAUCAGCUUGUUGGUGGGGUAAUGGCCUACCAAGGCGGCGACGGGUAGCCGGCCUGAGAGGGUGGACGGCCACAUUGGGACUGAGACACGGCCCAGACUCCUACGGGAGGCAGCAGUGGGGAAUAUUGCACAAUGGGCGGAAGCCUGAUGCAGCGACGCCGCGUGGGGGAUGACGGCCUUCGGGUUGUAAACUCCUUUCACCAUCGACGAAGGUUUUCUGACGGUAGAUGGAGAAGAAGCACCGGCUAACUACGUGCCAGCAGCCGCGGUAAUACGUAGGGUGCGAGCGUUGUCCGGAAUUACUGGGCGUAAAGAGCUCGUAGGUGGUUUGUCGCGUCGUCUGUGAAAUUCCGGGGCUUAACUCCGGGCGUGCAGGCGAUACGGGCAUAACUUGAGUACUGUAGGGGAGACUGGAAUUCCUGAUGUAGCGGUGAAAUGCGCAGAUAUCAGGAGGAACACCGGUGGCGAAGGCGGGUCUCUGGGCAGUAACUGACGCUGAGGAGCGAAAGCAUGGGUAGCGAACAGGAUUAGAUACCCUGGUAGUCCAUGCCGUAAACGGUGGGCGCUAGGUGUAGGGGUCUUCCACGACUUCUGUGCCGUAGCUAACGCAUUAAGCGCCCCGCCUGGGGAGUACGGCCGCAAGGCUAAAACUCAAAGGAAUUGACGG